GACGAACGCUGGCGGCGUGCCUAAUACAUGCAAGUAGGACGCAGUUGCGAACGGGUGAGUAACGCGUAGGUAACUACCUAGUAGAAGGGGAUAACUAUUGAAAACGAUAGCUAAUACCGCAUACUAAUAGAUGGACCUGCGUUGUAUUAGCUAGUAGGAAGGGGAAUGGCCUACCUAGGCAACGAUACGUAGCCGACCUGAGAGGGUGAUCGGGCACACUGGGACUGAGACACGGCCCAGACUCCGACGGGAGGCAGCAGUAGGGAAUCUUCGGCAAUGGGGGGAACCCUGUCCGAGCAACGCCGCGUGAGUGAAGAAGGUUUUCGGAUCGUAAAGCUCUGUUGUUAGGGAAGCGGUACUUAACCAGAAAGGGACGGCUAACUACGUGCCAGCAGCCGCGGUAAUUC
rnacentral:rRNA from 1 species